UGGGGAAUAUUGGGCAAUGGGCGCAAGCCUGACCCAGCAAUGCCGCGUGUGUGAAGAAGGCCUGCGGGUUGUAAAGCACUUUGAGCGGGGAAGAAGGGGGCCUGGCGAACAACCCGGCCCCUUGACGUUACCCGCAGAACAAGCACCGGCUAACUCCGUGCCAGCAGCCGCGGUAAUACGGAGGGUGCGAGCGUUAAUCGGAAUUACUGGGCGUAAAGCGUGCGUAGGCGGCCCGGUCAGUCUCGCGUGAAAGCCCCGGGCUCAACCUGGGAACUGCGCGGGAUACUGCCGGGCUGGAGUGCGGGAGAGGGCGGUGGAAUUUCCGGUGUAGCAGUGAAAUGCGUAGAGAUCGGAAGGAACACCAGUGGCGAAGGCGGCCGCCUGGACCGACACUGACGCUGAGGCACGAAAGCGUGGGGAGCAAACA
rnacentral:rRNA from 1 species